GCUGUNGUCAGCUCGGGUUGGGAAAUGUUGGGUUAAGUCCCGCAACCGAGCCAACCCUUAUCCUUUGUUGCCAGCGGUUCGUGCCGGGAACNUCAAAGGAGACUGCCAGUGAUAAACUGGAGGAAGGUGGGGAUGACGUCAAGUCAUCAUGGCCCUUACGAGUAGGGCUANCACACGUGCUACAAUGGCGCAUACAAAGGGAAGCGACCUCGCGAGAGCAAGCGGACCUCAUAAAGUGCGUCGUAGUCCGGAUUGGAGUCUGCAACUCGACUCCAUGAAGUCGGAAUCGCUAGU
rnacentral:rRNA from 1 species